GAUGAACGCUGGCGGCGUGCCUAAUACAUGCAAGUCGAGCGAAUGAUGAGGAGCUUGCUCCUCUGAUUUAGCGGCGGACGGGUGAGUAACACGUGGGUAACCUGCCUGUAAGAUGGGGAUAACUCCGGGAAACCGGGGCUAAUACCGAAUAAUAAAAGAGGAAGCAUUUCUUCUUUUUGAAAGUUGGUUUCGGCUAACACUUACAGAUGGGCCCGCGGCGCAUUAGCUAGUUGGUGAGGUAGCGGCUCAACAAGGGGGCGAUGCGUAGCCGACCUGAGAGGGGGAUCGGCCACACUGGGACUGGGACACGGCCUAGACUCCUACGGGAGGCAGCAGUAGGGAAUCUUCGGCAAUGGGCGAAAGCCUGACCGAGCAACGCCGCGUGAGAGAGGAAGGCCUUCGGGUCGUAAAGCUCUGUUGUCAGGGAAGAACAAGUACGAGAGUAACUGCUCGUACCUUGACGGUACCUGACCAGAAAGCCACGGCUAACUACGUGCCAGCCGCCGCCGUAACAC
rnacentral:rRNA from 1 species